UACGGAGGAUGCGAGCGUUAUCCGGAUUUAUUGGGUUUAAAGGGUGCGUAGGCGGGUUGUUAAGUCAGCGGUAAAAUUGCGGUGCUCAACGCCGUAGAGCCGUUGAAACUGGCGGCCUUGAGUGGGCGAGAAGUAUGCGGAAUGCGUGGUGUAGCGGUGAAAUGCAUAGAUAUCACGCAGAACCCCGAUUGCGAAGGCAGCAUACCGGCGCCCUACUGACGCUGAGGCACGAAAGUGCGGGUAUCGAACAGG
rnacentral:rRNA from 1 species